GCCGACCUGGCAGGCAGAGCCUGGGAGGAGGGGAGGGGAGGGAGGCAGCGCGAGCUGGGAGGGCGAAGGUGCUUGCCGCGGCCCAGAACGGCCCCGGACCCGGGCCGACGGGGCUGCUUGCUGCCGCUGCCGCUGCCGCUGCCCGACCAAGAAAAGUGGCGAGGGCCGUGCCGCGUCGGCCCUGGGCAGCAUUUAAAGGCCUCCGGGGCCCGGCUCGGGAACCGGGAACAGGGCGGGGACCCGGCGGGGCUGCCGCGGCUUGCUCAGCGGGCCCUGCCCCUCGGCCAUUGGACGGUGGCGGAGGCCGGGGCGGGAGGGACGGGCCUGUCCGGGUCCGGGAGGGCGGGGGCCCUGUCGGCUCUCACCGGCCAGAGGGUGGGCAGGGCCGGGGCUGGAGAAGUGAGGGCCCGAGCCGGUCAGGUGACAGGUGCUCGUGCCACCCGCGCCCCUCCCUCCAGCCUCCUUCCUCCUGCCACGUCCUGGGCGCUGGUGGGGCGAUGGGAGGCGAGGUCGAGGGAAGAUUGGGUGCUGGGGGUGGUAUUCCAGAGUGGGAGACUUGGCAGGAUUUCUUUCAGAGAAUUCCAACAAAAUCGGGGGAAGGAUUCAUUCUGCUCUCUAGGGCAGAAAGAGAAUGGAAGGUCUGAAGGCUUGCAGAAAUAAAUGUGUGACCUGAAAGAACGAAGCAGAGAGGACUCAAGACACUGCAUUUGGGAGCCACCUCUGCUUCCAGAACACUUGUCUCUUCCAAGAGCUGGAUUCAGUAUCAAAAGGAGAAGGUAUGACAUAGCUCCACCUACAUGCAAGGGGAGCCAGGAAGUGCAAUCCCUGGCUGGGCUGCCACGUCUCAGAAACCAUUAAGCCUAUGGAAGGUCUCUGGAUUUGAUGGCAAAUGGCAGCAGAAAUGUGGAAAAGAUCAAAGUGAUGUCAAGGUUGAUCUCUGAGUUUGGCAUGGCUGAACUCAAACAUCAUUUGCCAUGGACCCACAGUGUCUUCAGUAGCUGAGUGUGGUGUCAUUCCCCUAUGAUAUGUGCACUCAAUUGCUGGCCAGUUUUUGUUUUUUGUUUUUGAGAGAGUCUCGCUUUGUCUCCUAGGCUGGAGUGCAGUGGCACGAUCUCGGCUCACUGCAACCUCCGCCUCCCGGGUUCAAGUGAUUUUCCUGCCUCAGCCUCCCGAGUAGCUGAGAUUACAGGCAUGUGCCAGCAGGCCCGGCUAAUUUUUUUUGUAAUUUUAGUAGAGACGGGGUUUUGCCAUGUUGGCCAGGCUGGUCUCGAGCUCCUGGCCUCAAGUGAUCCACCUGCCUCCACCUCCCAAAGUGCUGGGAUUACAGGUGUGAGCCACUGUACCUGGCCCCAAAGUUUUAGAAAUUGGAUCAUUUUAAAUGUUGGAGGGGAGUUCAUUGUUUAGGAUGGCUGUGUGGCAAAUCUUUUUUUAAAGUAAGUAAUUCUCCUCUAUUAUAAGUCACCUCCUGAUCUCUACAUUUAAGGUUUGCUGUCCUGGAUGUGUUCACCUAUGAAUGUAAGUGUGCUGAGAUACACAGUGCAAGGCUGAAGUCAGAGUACACCACUGAUGAACCCCUGGGAACUGGUAACCCAGCCAGGGAAUGAACAUCUUUUAUGAAUCAGUUUAUCCACCAAACACUUGCAGAGAGCCUAUCCCAUGCCACCCCUGAGGGCACGGUGAUGGAGAAGAUAUGCUUCCUGCCUCCAAGAACCCCAUAGUCUAGUGGCAGAGACAAGCAGACUCUGCUUCAUCAUUGCUAAGUUGGAAAGAGCAAGCAAUUGAGAGUCCCUGCUGGCCACAGCUGGGGUGCCCCAGACCACAGCACUGAGCCUCAAAGGCAAGUGAGCAUAGUGUUGGGAGCUGGGCUUCUGGAUCCAUCAACUCCAUCUGAUGACUCGGAAGUUCCUUCAGUUCCCAACACUGGAGUCCAGCAAGGCUGGUUUGUCUUGUUUUAAUUAUUAUUUAGAUGACUGUUUGGCUCAUACCUGAGCAAGGUUCAAAUCAAGUCAGACCUGUUAAUUUAAUCAAAGUUAUAUAAUCACAUUUGGGCACUUAAAUGUAAACCAAUUAUGUUGGAAGCCAAGUAUCUUGUACUCAGGAGGGAGUUCUAAUAAGUGCUGGGAAUGUAUGCUAAUGCACAAAGCCUAACCCCCAGAGUGGAGGGUGGAGCACUCCAGGGCACUCCUGUUUCGGUGACGUUGUUUUAAUAGCUAGUGCUCUGGGUGCAGUCUGGGAAGAUAUUGGAAACAUCUCAAGCAAGUAUGACAUCCAUUUUACCCAAGCCCAUGGAACCCAUUAUGUUUGGAACAUGUCUGUCUGUGGCAUUUGGCUUGGCUUAUAAAUGCACUAUCAGAAUCUAUAGGAGGCCUUCGCAACAAGACGUGUCUUGGCCUUUCUGGUUAUCAGCAAUCCCUCCACCUCUCUCUUAACAAACAUAUGCCAUAAGUCCUGAUCAGGCAUUUAGUUUUUUCACUUGGACCUUUUCCUAGUUCCUAGUCUCAACCCCAAUGCCUCCUAAUCUUGUACUUCUUCAAAUACUGGCCCCCCUCUACUAUGAGAGAGAGAGGAAAGUAGGGAGGAGAAGGAGGAAAAGUUAUUGAGUUGAUAUGAGGGUAGUCAACCUAAAGCAACAAUCAGGAGUAAGGUACUGGACUUGAGUUUGAAGUGUUUGUCACUAAACUCUCUCAAACUCUUCCAGGCUAACUAGCCUCAGAGGGCUUCUAGCCCAUAGUCUCCUUGUAUUUUCUGCCCUCCUCACUUGGAGUGGGAGGGAACCAGAUGUCCAGUCUUUGUCCCGUGUUAAGAACUGGCCUGGCAGGCUUUGUUGAGACCAUCCAGACUUGAAAGCCUCACAACCAGAUGCCAUCACAGGCACUUUCUGCUCUUAACCUUUGUCUGUGUCUCCUACAUGAACUCAUCAGACUGCCUCUGAAGAGGGACAUUCUAGGGACAGUUUCAUCUUCAUCACCAUCCUGGAUAGGGAACCCUUCCAGACUCAGAGUUGCAAAAGUCAGGGAGGGGCUGCUCACUGGAGGUGGAGUCCUUUGGCCAGGUUUCACUGUAAACACAUGGCUAAAAUGUGUCGCACAUGGACAGGCAUGCUAGUGUGCUCUGGAUACAUGCUAGUGUGCCCCAGAUAUAUGCUAGUGUGCCCCGUAUAGCUUCUGGCUAAAGGACACACCUCAGCAAGGCCAAAUGAGGCAUCAGGAUGAACUCUUCAAAUAGACUUCAUUAGACCCACAGAAGACUAACCUUUGCCUGACUUUGGAUUACCCCUUUCUUGCCAGGAAUUAUGUUCAAUGACUAUAUCUGGAACUAGAGGUCUUGAUAGCCACACUUUGCUUGGUGUGGCUUCUCAGUCUUUUAAGGACAUGGCUAUCAAGGGCUCAUGUUUAUUCCAGGUCAGCCCUUUACCCCUUUCCUCCAGGGGCAUCUAUGGCAACAAAAGACCAUGACAUCUGGCAGGGCUGGCAGGACUAUUUAGUUUAGGCAGGAAUGUGGGUGUUAGCAUGUCAGAGUACAUCUGAGAAAACAUUCCAAACCAACCUUUCCACACUGGGAACUCAACCCCCAGGAAUCACCAAAGAUAAGGGCAACAGUCUUAUCUCUCGAGGGAAGUUCAGGGUAAAGUCCACUCCUGCUGUGGACCAGAGCUCAGGGAAGAAGAAAGCUCAGGCUGGCUCUGCCUGUCCACUUGAUGAACUUCCACAAAUGCCACUCUGGGAGCUGAGGCAUAUGAAGUGGGGAAGAAAAUACCAGCCCUGCCCUGGAGCUCUGGGAUGGUGGCUGUACACCCCUAAAGAUGCCAGCAGAUCUGAACUGUGGCCUAUGUGUGUUUGGGAAUUGAGAAAUAAGGAGAUAGAGGGACAGCAGGCAGGAAAAACUACAAUUAGUCUCAGCUCACACAGAUUUGGGAGUAUGCAGAUCUGAAUUGUGGCCUCCAUGUGUUUGGCUGAAGGAUAAUGAUCUCAGGCCCAGACUUUUUUUUUUUUUUGUAUCACUCGCUCAGGGGGCUCUGACCAGGAGCUUCUUUCAGAUGACACAGAUCCCGAGGAGCCACUUGCCUUCUACCCAUGACACUUCUAAGAGUGACUCUUGCCAUGUGACCAUAGAGAUAAGUGAAGUUUUCUCCAAUGACAUCAUUAAGAAGUCUAAACUUCCCCAAAGGGAGAGGCUGUGACUAGGAACACAAAUGUCUCAGUGUAUCACACUCAUGCUCCCAGAUCUGUGGGCAGAAAAAGAAAUCAUAGAAUGGUGCAUAUCCUAAAAAUAAAAAGGAAAUUGCUUUUCAAGUUAUG
rnacentral:lncRNA from 1 species